CAGAGUGUGCAACUCCAAGUUUUCUAACAGGUUCAAUUUUGGGACAGGAAAGUCCAAUUGCGAGGCCACCCUCCGUUCUCGGUCCGAGGAAAUAAAGUGCUAAAAAAAUUCACAGCCAAGGCCUUUAUACCCUCCAUAUCCUCAAUCCAGUGCCCCGCGGCAUCCUUAAUUUGGGAAAUAAAAUUCAUACUCUACCUUUGUUUAACCACUGAGUGAAAAAGCUUGGUAUUUACGUCACCCGCCUGAAUCCAUUUAAUUGCCGAUUUCUGUUGCUAGUAUUCACACUCAACAGCCAGGGCACGAGCGUGAGUCGCUCUAGCCUCCCCCAGCCUAGCCUUCGUUACCUCAUCCCGGGUAAUGUCAUAUUCCACUUCGCGUUGACGGAGAAUGUCCUCGGCCUCCCUAAUUUUCUGAGAUAUGUUACCAAAGGAGUCCCGAUUCCACUGGCGUAGCCUAGCUUUUGUAUUACACAACUUGUAGAAAAAAACCCUCAUCCCUGUGGCACCCAUCGGAAUCUGCCAGGCCUCCCGGACGAUUGCCAAGAACUCGGGGAGGUUCCUCCACACAUUCAAAAAUCGAAAGGAGGAGGCCAUAGCGGUGACAUCUCCACACCUAAUCCACAGCGGGGCCUGAUCAGAGCGACCGCGCGACAGGUGAAAAACAUUAGAGCUCCCAAACAACUCAUUCCAUGCACCAUUAUGCAGAGCUCUAUCCAAACAUUGCCAUACCACACCAUUAGUCCAAGUGAACUACGCCCCCUCAAAGCCGACAUCCGAGAGCCCACAAUUAAAAACUGCGUCAUUAAACUCCUCCAUAUUCUGAGGGUUGGGUGGGGCACCUCCUGACAGCUCAUUGACAUUUGAAAUAAUAUUAAAAUCGCCGGCCACCAUCCACGGGCCC
rnacentral:lncRNA from 1 species